rnacentral:rRNA from 1 species
AUUGAACGCUGGCGGCAGGCUUAACACAUGCAAGUCGAGCGGGGUGAUGGUGCUUGCACUAUCACUUAGCGGCGGACGGGUGAGUAAUGCUUAGGAAUCUGCCUAUUAGUGGGGGACAACAUCUCGAAAGGGAUGCUAAUACCGCAUACGUCCUACGGGAGAAAGCAGGGGAUCACUUGUGACCUUGCGCUAAUAGAUGAGCCUAAGUCGGAUUAGCUAGUUGGUGGGGUAAAGGCCUACCAAGGCGACGAUCUGUGGCGGGGCUGAGAGGAUGAUCCGCCAAACUGGGACUGAGACACGGCCCAGACUCCUACGGGAAGCAGCAGUGGGGAAUAUUGGACGAUGGGGGGAACCCUGAUCCAGCCAUGCCGCGUGUGUGAAGAAGGCCUUAUGGUUGUAAAGCACUUUAAGCGAGGAGGAGGCUCUUUUGGUUAAUACCCAAGAUGAGUGGACGUUACUCGCAGAAUAAGCACCGGCUAACUCUGUGCCAGCCGCCGCUGUAA